GUUUACCUUCAAUACCCCCUGCUGUUCUUCCAGGGAUCUGUGAUGACACAUGUCUUUAUCUGCUAGUUCCUGGCUUAUUCUGUCACAUUGCCAGAGUUAGAAUCUGUGUUAUGUGCAUUUCAGACCUUUGAAUGUGAUAAUGACCUUUGGGUCUGAGAAGGGUACUGAGAUGCCAGAACUGAGAUGUGAUGCUUUACAUUUGCAGUCUUUGAUUCAUGAGUACAUUUGGGAAAGUUACUUCUGAAGGAAAAAAGAAAAAAAAAAAAAAAAAAGAUUGCUUUAAAAACACAACUUGUUUGAGCCUGCCAAGCUUGUGAACCUAGGACAUGUCUAAUUGAACUCAGAAGUGAAAGAUGUGCAUUGUGGGGUCUCAGUCUGCUGUUUUGUACAUUAUACAAUUUCAGUGAAGAAGUAAGCCCAAAAGCUGAAUUUGAUACUGAAUUUGAUCACAGCUGCUUGACAAGAAAAAGACAGUCGACACUGUGAUUCCUGGAGAGACCGGAGAGGGGAAGAAACUGAGCUGGAUCCCAGAGGAAGACACAAGUCAUCCUUCAUCCCUGCAUGAAGACGGAAAUCAGGGAAGGCAAAAAGUUAGUGAGGGGAAGAGACAACAGACAGAAUGGAGCAGUGAGACCCACCUAAUACAAUUUGUGACUACACUUGGAAAUGAGAUGAGGUUUUGGAACUAAUUUCCUACAGUCUAACUUGCAUGUGAAAUCUGAAGUAAGGGUUAGUGCACACUCUAGCAAGAAUUUACAUGUAUGUAAAAAAAAAAUCAGCACACCUUUGCACAGUUACCACAAUGAAUGAGUACUAACAACAUCCUUCCUUGGCUAAAAGCUGGUGUCACAUUUUGAGGAUACAAUUGGAAGAAAUGGACAUAAGUAGCGAGUACUGUCUUUCACUGCUGCUCUGCUCCUGUGAUCUAUAAAUAAAGAGAACUUUAACCUUUUGUAAGCUCA
rnacentral:lncRNA from 1 species